AAAUUAACUAAGCGUAUAAAUAGGGUCACGUAUUAUUCCAAGACCCUUAACACAGUUCUUGAAAAUAUGACAGACUGCGUACAAUGUACAAGAAACAGUAAGAUUUGAUGCAGAACAUAAAAGCUUUAGAGAAAAUAAGGUUUCUUAAUCUGUAACUUUAAUAAUUUAAGAUUAACUUUUAAAAGCAACAUUAACCUCUGAAUAGUUUUUCCUGCCCUCAAAACCACUCGAGGGCACCAAAAAAGCUCACAUUUAAUAGAAGCAACAUAAAAGAAACUUUCUAAUUAUUCCAUCCUUCAGGAACAGGGCCAAGGGAGGCAGUCAGCAGAAAUGAAGCUCCGUCCGGACAGUGUGAAGGUGAUCUAUGUGGUGAUCAGAACAGCAGAGGGCUAUGAACUUUGCCGGACACAGAAGCCAAAAGCAAAUGACAUGGAACUUCCAGAUCCAGAUUAACAGCAGUCACCAUGAGCGGCGUGACAUGAUGUCCACGAUCAGGUCAUCAGCUGCAAUUCUGGGAUCACCAGCAACAUUUAACAAAUGCCAGGAUAUGUGGGGGUAA
rnacentral:lncRNA from 1 species